CGGUAAUACGGAGGGUGCGAGCGUUAAUCGGAAUUACUGGGCGUAAAAGCGCAUGCAGGUGGUUUGUUAAGUCAGAUGUGAAAAGCCCGGGCUCAAACCUCGGAAAUAGCAUUUGAAAAACUGGCAGACUAGAGUACUGUAGAGGGGGUAGAAUUUCAGGUGUAGCGGUGAAAAUGCGUAGAGAUCUGAAGGAAUACCGGUGGCGAAGGCGGCCCCUGGACAGAUACUGACACUCAGAUGCGAAAGCGUGGGGACGCAAACAGGAUUAGACUACCCUGGUAG
rnacentral:rRNA from 1 species